GUGUGCGCCGGGAAAAGUUGUAGGAAGAGGAUCGCUGUAUUUAUCAUGUGGCGUUGGAGGUGAAUGGAAUGCUACAAUAGCACACUGCAUAUCCACUUGUCCUUCAAUACGAAUGGGAGCCAACACGAAGUUUGUAACACCUGCGUCUCCUCCAUGGGCAGUCGGGACUUUGCUGAAGUUCGCGUGCACCGAUGGAGCAUGGUUGGAGUCAGGGUCGCUCCAGUUGCGCUGCGUGCGUUAUGGUAUUUUAAAAUGGGAUACCGAAAUACCGAAAUGUUCAGUUCCCUGUCCCGACAUCAGUGGCACCAAUGCUAAAGCUAACAAGUCCGGUCCAUGGUUCCCUGGAAUGUCGGCAAAACUGACUUGCCCUGAAGGAACUGUGCCUACCGACGGCUGGCUCUCACUCCGCUGCACGAAUUCAA